AUAUCCCAUAAACUACCCUGUCUUAAAAGUCGUCUUUGACAAACUACACCUCCGUCAAACCUUCGUCCACUUUCUGCUCCAAACCAAAUACUGUUCAAGGUUUCUGCAUAAACGUAAACAAAAUCCUCGUGCAACAAUAAGAUUUAAAUUCGUAAAAAAUAGAAACAAUUUACGCUUAAAAUUCAGUGAAUCAUUUUGCAAACUAAUAGUGAAUUAAUUUUUUACCAAAUGAAUAUUUUUUUUCAGAAAUUGAAUAGUUUAGACUCCGAUUCCAACCACUAUUCCCGUACUAUACGACAAUAGAUCGAAACCUCGUUACUGAAAUAUAUUUUCACCAGAAGUUAUCGUCUACGUAUA